UCGCUUUGGCAGCAGGUAUACUAAAAUGGGAACAAUACAGAGAAGAUUAGCAUGGCCCUGUGCAAGGAUGACUCGCAAGUUCAUGAAGCAUUCCAUAUUUUG
ensembl:snRNA U6 U6 spliceosomal RNA